GUAAAACAAUUGCUGUUUCCUUCCUUAUCAGUUCCUUGACAUUUGAAACAAAGCAGUGGGCAUCAAAUUUAGCCUUGAUUUGGGAAAACACUAUACCAGCAAGAGUUGUCUUUCCAAUACCAGCCAUUCCCCAAAUUCCUAUUAUCCAAUUUCUGUCAUUUACAUCAAUAUCCAAUAACGAUAUUACUUCCUCGACACGCGAAUCAAUUCCAAUUAACUUGUCAUGGUAACUAGCAUUUGAUGGCAUAUGACUUAAUAUUUCCGAAACACGAUUGACGAUUCUUUGAACUAGCGUUUGGUCGUUUCUGAUCACAUAUGAAAAACAAAAAGUAAGCCAAAACUUAUAUAUCCUAGAAUAGAAUCAAUUAAGUGUUUGGAAAAACUGGGUGGGUAAAACCCAUGAUUGAAGGAAUAUGAGAAAAUGAAACAGAAUUGUAACAAGAAAAUAAAAAUAAGUGAGAGUUCAAAGGAGUAGAUAUCGUGAAUAAAAGCCAUCUAUUGUGUGCGCAAGAUUGAUCUAUUAUUGAUGAAUGGAAAAUAAAAAGACAUGGAAAAGUAAACAGGGGAAAAUGAUAACUUUACUUGAUCUCAUUCGAAACAAAAGCACUUAAGUCGUUGCUGAUUGUCUUCAAAGCAUGGCACCAUCCACCCAGGUUGUGUGAACUAUCGCUGUGAUCUUUUAAAAGCCUAGCAAGUGCCCUUGCGAAAGGGCCUCUCAGCUCUUGAACAUCAGUUGGAUCUACACGGUAAAAAACUGGCAAAACUAUUUGCCCCGACUUUUCUCUGCAUUCAUUUAUCACAACAAGCUCGUCCAAGCACCAUGGAGAAUCUGCAUAGUUUUUGGAGAAUAUGACAAUUGAAAUACAUGAUUCUUGAAUUGUUUGCUUGAGGGCUGGUGUUAUUUCAGUUCCUUUUUUAAGUUUUUCAUCCUUGAAGGUAUCGAUUCCCUUUUCCUUCAAAGAUUCAAAGAGAAAGGAGAGGAAACCGUCGCGGAUGUCUUUGCCUCUGAAAUUAAUAAAAACUUCAUAGUUAUUUAGCUCGGAAGGGGUUUGCUGGGAAAAGGUUGAGGAUGGAGAAGAAGCAGCAUUGGUAUUAAUGAUAAAAGAAGCGGUUCGCUGGGAAGAGGUUGAAGCAGAAGAAGAGAAAGAAGAACCCAUAACGGAAAAUUCAAAUGAUACAAGAAGCCGUAGAACGAGAGUUUUAUAUGUCAAAGUUGGUUGUGGUGUGCCCACUUAAAUGGGACCCAUAUGUGCAAAAGAAAGAAAAAAAAAAAAAAAAGGAAAACGUGUUAUUUGAAAAAGAAGAAAAUUUGGCAAAAGUUGGCAAUUUUUUUUUUGACAAAGUAUGGAGACAUGAAUGAGUUAUACACGACUCAUUCACUGAACUGAUUAUAAAAGGAGGCAGACGAAGUUCAUUUAAAUACAACACAAAUAGGGAGUGAUAGCAAUUGUGAGAAAUAGCAAUUGUAAGAGAGAAAAAUAGAGAUUAUCCAAGAAGAAAAGUUAAACUUAAUUCUUCGGGUAUUCUUUUAUAGAGGAUUGUGAGUGUAUGUAAACACUUUAUUUAUUUUUGUCUUAUAAAAGAUCUAUGGUAGUCCGGAGACGUAGGCAAGAUUGGCCGAACUCCGUUAUCAAAUUAUGUGUUAUUAUUUUCUUUUGCUCCCUCAUAAAUCUGACUUAUUGGGGAUUUUGCGUAAUUUUUUCCAACAUUAUAAAACGUAGAGGAGUGUAUAUAAAGCUAAACCAUUUAGAUUUAAGAGUCAUCAUCCCAGAAACUUCAAAGAAGAUUUAAGAAAGUGAGUGAGUGGAAGUGGGAAAGAGAGAAAAGUGGGGCGAUGCGAGAGUAAAGCAAAGAGAGACAUUUUAGUGCGUGCGUGAGCGGAUCUAAUGUGCCGUGUUUGCCGCUUCGCUUGAUUUGUAUAAUUAGAGUUUAUUGCUCACUUGUAAAAGCUAUUUCCAUUGAAUCCAAUUGCUGAUAAGUAUAAAAAAUCAUAGUAUAAAUACCGAGGAAAAUUGACCUCACAAUCAUAAUUUAAUAAUUUUUUUAAAUAAUAAUUAUGUAACUCUUGGUCAUAAUUUGAAAAUUUCAAGAAAUAUUUUAAGCAUAAAAAAUACUAUAUUAUUAAUUAAUCUAUUUAGUUACUCAAAAAUCAAAGAAUCCACCGUUAACGUCGUUAAUAUUUAGAUAAUCAAAAUAUAAUCAAUGUCCAUUAUCCAUAUUAAAACUAUCAUUUGAAAUGAUAUAUUGUAUGAUAAGUAACUUAUUAUAUUAAUUUACUUUAACAAAUUAAUAAUUAAUAUAUAUACUUAUCGGUCCCAUAAAUUUAACAGGCAAAAAAAAAUAUGGGGAAUAUUUUGGUAUUUAUACAUGGAAGGAGGGAGGAAAAGGGGGAAGAAAGACACAAUAUGAACACCAUCAUUGCAGUAGUCAAAAAAGAAAAUUGAAGGGAAUAUUUUCUAGUUAUACAUGGGAGGAGGAAGAAAGACGCAAUGACUUAGGUUAACGACUUAGGUUACGUUUUGUUGUGGGGUGCCCAUUCUGUGGGACCCACACAUUGUUGAAAAUAAAAAAGGAAACAUGUGGGUCCUAUGGGAUCCAUAAGCUUUGACAAAAGAAAGAAAAAUAGAGAAGGAAAUUCGGUCGACACGUUAUAUUUUCAGUGUACGCGUUACUCUUCUCUUAUAAAUAGAAGAGGAUGCAAUGCUUCAAAACACACACAUCAGAAAAAAAGAAAAAUAAAAUUUAGGGAGAGAGAGUUAUUUAGUUUUGGGAAGGGUUUCAUAAAACUAGGGGAAAAAAAUAUUGAGAAAAUUAUUAUAGGGUGUUUUUGGGAAACACUUUGAGUGCCACUAUUUUUGUAUUACUCUCUUUGAGUACCUACUAUUUUUAAUAGUGGAAGAGUUAUUCAGAGUUUGUCUCGUGGACAUAGCCCUAAACAGUUGAGGGUGAACCAUGUAAAUUUCUGUGUGUCACAAUUUUGAUUAUUCCGUUGCGUUAAUUUCCUCUUACUUUAUUAAAAGGUUCCAACAAGUGGUAUCAGAGGUGAGGCAAGUGGUACCUGAGGCCCAACAACUGGUAUCAAAGCUGAUGCCCAACAAGUGGUAUCAGAGCUGAUGCCCAACACGUUUAUUUUCGGAAGAUAAAAUGUUUUCCUUUGAAAAAUAUUUUUCGAAUAAUUUUUUUUGUUGUUUGAUUGCAAUAUUAAAAAUCAGUUAAAAAUAUUAAAAUUUUAAUUCAUAAGACCAUAAAAAUAUUAAUAAUAAUAAUAGAAAUUUCGUAUUUUAAAAAUUUUAUUGUUAAAUAUGAGAAGAAUGAAAAAAAAAUAAAUUAUGAAAGUUGUCAGUGACCGAUGGUGGGGGUCGACGGUAUCCGCUAGUGAUGAAUAAUAGCUAUCAAUGAUUAAUAAAUUAAAAAAUUAUAAGGUUAUAAUAAGUUUGUUAAUGUCCGGAAAAUGUUUUACUUUUCAUUUUUAAUCAAAAAUACAUAAGCAAAUUAUGUAUUUCAUUUUUUUUCGUAAACUCUGUCUCCAUUGACAAGACUUAUGUGAGAGACAUCGUCACAUACAGGAUCGGCAUGAGAGUCGUCAUUGGAAAAUUGAUUUCCUUUAUAUUCUUCUAAUAUUUCAUUUAUGUUUUUAUCGUCUUUUUCUCCAUUGGUAUUGGCUGCGAUUCUACGAUUUUUUUUCUUAUCGGAAAUCUAUCACUGCCAUGAAUGUUGUUUAUGCUCUAAAGGAAAAUAGGACUCUCGAUUAUACUUAAAUUAAUAUUGAUACAGUAAAUAUACACCGUUUUACUUGUUUUGAUCAAAUGUAUUAAUUGAUGUGUGUGUGCACAGGUGUGUGUGUGUGUAUAUAUAUAUAUAUAUAUAUAUAUAUAUAUAUCAAUCUGUUACUGUUUGGAGCAAAAUUUGUAUCAUAUGAAACUAAAUAGUCGGGCUUGGCCAUUUAAAAUGAUAGUUUUAAUAUGGAUAAUGGAUAGUAAUUAUAUUUUGAUUAUCUAAAUAUGAACAGUGAAUUCUUUGAUUUUUGAGCAAAAAUGGUUAAUUAAUAAUAUAGUAUUUUUUAUGCUUGAAAUACUUCUUGAAAUUUUCAAAUUAUGACAGAGUUACAUAAUUAUCUAAUUGUGAUUUAAAAAAAUUAUUAAAUUAUGAUUGUUAGGUCAAUUUUUAUCAGUAUUUUAACUUGAUCAGCAAUAAACUGUAAUUAUUCAGAGUUGGUCCCACGACGUAACAUUAAACAAGGUGAACCAUGUAAAUUUCUGUGUGUCACAUUUCUGCUGCGUAAUUAUUCUCGUAAUUUUAUUGCCGGCUCCUAACAAAAUAUAUUCUCGUAUCAUUGGAAUUCUCCGUUAUGGGUUCUUCUUUCUCUUCUUCUGCUUCAAUCUCUUCCCAGUGAACCCCUUCUUUUAUCAUUAAUUCCAUUGCUGCUUCUUCUCCUUCCUCAACCUCUUCCCAGAUUGCCAAAUAACUUAGGAGAUUUAAAAUCUCUGGGGGAACUCAUUGCAACAAGAAGUGGCAUACAAACAUUACCAUCUUCAUUGUCUGGUUUGAAUCUGUUACAGGAACUUAUUCUAGUUGAUUGUGGGAUAUCAGAAAUUCCAGAGAGCACUGGAUCAUUAGUUUCAUUAAAAGAGUUAUAUUUGGAUGGAAAGGUUUUCGAAAGCAUUCCUUGAAGCAUCAAACAACUUUCUAACUUGGUUAUCCUUAGCUUGAAUGAUUGUAUGAGGCUUAGAUAUUUUCCAGAGAUUUCAAUCUUAUUUUCUUUUUCUGCGUCAAAUUGCACAUGUCCAUUCUUUCAUUCGAACUGGAGAGGGAUGAUGAUAUUUUGGGUUUCUGCUUUUGUGCUCUUAUUGAUCCCCAACUUCUUCAUUCUCAUGAUCAAGGUUCCAUUAAAUGUUUUGCGGAAUUCGAAGAUAAAUCUGGAAAGAUACAUGACUUUUAUUUUUCACGUAGGCUGUUGAUGCCUAAGUUAGAUUCAAAACAUGUGCUCCUUUGGUACAAAUCUUUCGACUGUGAAGAGCAUUUCACUCGGGCCUCAUUCCACUUUGCUAUUAGUAAUAGUUAUGAACCUAGUUAUAAUAGGGAAGGGAUGAUUAAGUGUAGAGUUCAUCCCGUAUCUCGGGAACAAUAUAGGACACCAAAAUAAGAAAUGAUUCAAACCAGUAAGGAUGGUAAUGGAGAGUCCCAGACAAGGAAACGGUCGGCGAAUGCUGAAUUUUGGGAUAAGAAUUCAAGACCAAGACUCUGAUUAAAGGAAUUUCUAGUUUCGUGCGUUUCUCUUUGGGAUUUUGAUUAACUAAACUUCGGUUUUUCAUUCAAGUCUUUGGUUUCUAAGUUUCUGCAGUUGUAUGUUGGCUUUGUAUCUCAAGGGCUUGUUGCAGUUGGUGGAAGAUCUUUAAUCAUGUUUGCAGUUAUCCUAAAUGCUUGCAAUUAUUUGCUAAUUUGGAGUUUUGGAGGGAAGUAUAGAUUGAUCUUUAAAAGAUGUUUGCUUCAUUUCAAUUGCUCUUUAAAACAAAUUUUGUAAAUUGGUUCAAUUAUAUCAGCAACUCACAUAAUAUAAUGUUAGAACCAUUUUCUAUCAAUGAUAAUUUAUUUUGUCCCCUCUGUGUUUUAUUGUAUUAUUAUUUUUCCGGUAAUCAAUUAAUUAAAAUUGAGGUAACAGUAGUCAAUUAAAACUCAUAUUCUUUCGACCUUUUAUGCUAUAUCAGCCUAUCAAGUCUAUUGUUUUUCUUUUCUUUUUAUUUAUUUAUGUAUUAGGAAGUUUCAUAAAUUAGAAUGAUACCCUCUUUAAUUCAUUAAAUUAUAAAAAAUUUUAUAAUAAAACUGAUAAAAUCAUACUUGAUUAACUUUUUUAUGAAAUUAAAUUAAUUUUUAAAAAUAUUCUUACAUUUAAAAAUAUUUCUUUGAUAAUAUAGAAUCUAAAUAAAUAAUUAACCAAAAAUAAGAAUCUCAAUUCUUUACAAUUAAACUAAUACAAUUAGAUGCCAUUUAAAAAUCUUUUCAUCAUAAAUGUAUUGUAUCUGAUGCAACUGACUUUACACAAGCUUUCUCGUCAAGACGGGUGAUUAAGGUUGGAAGGUAACAAUUAAUUUGACUUUCCUAUAAUUUUUUUUUUUUGAAAUUCUAUUUUUCUAAGAAAAUAUAUUUCCAUAAAAAAAAUUGAAUUUCGGGAAAAAAGAGUUCAUCUUACCUUAUAAUAGUUAAAAUAUUAAGUUUUAUUUAAUUUAGUAUAUCUCAAAAAAAAAAAAACUAAAUCAAACUAUUAGGAUAAAAUUGCAAAUUUUACAGUAUGAAGGAUCUUACAUGCAUUAGUUUGGGUCUACAAGAUUAUCAAAAUCUAAGAAAAACUCAUCACGCUCUACACAUGCCUGUCCAUCUUCAUCUUCAUCUUCCAGGAAAAGGAAUGGACAUGAUACAAAUUGUCAAGAGAUGCAAUUUGAUGCAGAAAAUAUUCUUUAGAAUGGAAGUUAUGUCAAAUUUCUUAGCCUCUUACAAUCAUUCAACUUAGAAAGUAGAAUCAUGCUUGGCGGUAUGCUUUUGAAAUCGUUUUCAUCUAAAUAUAACUCUUCCAAUGAAAUUAAUGACCCAAUGCUCUCUGGAAUUUCUGAUAUACCACACUUAUUCAGAUAAAAUUUCCUUAGGCAAUUCAAACCAGACAAAGGAGGCAAUGUCAUCAAACCUUUACAUCCCUCGCAACAUAAGAAUUCCAAUUUGCUCAAUUGAUUGAUAGAUGAUGGUAAUAUUUUUAUGCCACUUGCUUUUGCUUCACGCUCCAUCCGCAAUUUUAAAUCUCCAAAAUUAUCUAGCAAUCCGUUGAAUUUCAAACAAUCUGUAACAUCAAUGCCUUCAGGAGAUUUUAACCCACAAAUACUUUGUGGGGUGGAACUAGACUUCAAGAAUUGGGAUUAAGGAUCAAUAUAAAUAUUUACGUGAGUUGCUGAUAAUAUUGAACCAAUUUACAAAAUUUGUUUUAAAGAUCAGUUGAAAUGAAGCAAACCUCUUUUAAAGAUCAAUCUAUACUUCCCUCCAAAACUCCAAACUAGCAAAUAAUUACAAGCAUUUAGGAUAACUACAAACAUGAUUAAAGAUCUUCCACCAACUGCAACAAGCCCUUGCCAACGUACAACUGCAGAAAAUUAGAAAUAGAUUAGCUAUUAUGAGUGUUAAUAUCCAAGUAACAGCCAAUAAUAAGCUGAUUCUCUCCACUACCGUGAUGCUGUGAAUUGAAAACUGAAGUCUACCAAAAUCCCAAAGUAAUACACACGAAACUAGAAAUUCCUUUACCUAUUGUCAAUUUCCAUUUGCCAUACAAAUUGACCUUAAUCAGAUUCUUUGCCUCAAUUUCUUCUCCUAUAAUUCAGCGUUCGCCACUUGUACUGUAUCCUUAUCUGGUUCUCCCUGAUACCAUCCUUCUUGGUUUUAAUCAUUCCUUAUUUCAGCUUUCCUAUAUCUUCCCGAUGUAUAGGAUGCAUGCCACAAGUGAUCGCCCUCCCAAUACUGGCACCACCUUUUCUGGGAUACUUUACAGAGAAUUGAUAAACAUGGAAUGAGACUCGAGUGAAAUUCGGCUCAUGAUCAAAAGAUUUGCACCUAAGGAACACAUGUUUUGAAUCUAAUUUAGGAAGCCCAAAAUAUGGCAAAUCAAAGUCACAGACAUACUCAUACAUCUUUUCAGAUUUAUCUUGGAAGUUCGCAUAUCCUGUAAUGCCAUAUUCAUCCAAAUCAAAAUCUUGGAAAUCAAUAACAGCGGAAAAAUAAAAACCCAAAACACGAUCAGGCCUUUCCAACUGAAAUGAAAGAUGAGACCCACUUGUUCGAUAUUUCAUAAUUUGUGGCACUUCCACCACCCCAGGGAUACAUAAUUGACACUGCUACUCCAUGAAAAUAUACUUUGUUAAGGAAUAUCAUAGUUAAAUAACGAUAGAGUUGAAUUUAAAUAGCUGAUGAAUGAGUAAAUGGAUAAUUUAAACACAAAUUUGAAAAAACGUCCAUAACAACUAUUGAAAUCUUUUCGUGAUAUUUUUUUUAUGGUAAGAUGAUAUAUAGUUCAAUUUUAUUAUGUUUAUCUCUUUUCCCUUGUCAAAGCAUAAAUUAAUUAAGAAAUUCACAAGUUAGGAAAAUAUUCCAUUGAUGUUUAUCUUCGAAAAUCUUAAUUAACAUUUUUUUUUAAUAAGGACUUCUUUAUUAAUUUAAUAUUAGAGAAAUGAAACAUACGUGCUGGUCUGGGUGUGUUGAGAAUGGGGCCUCCAUAAUCUGAAGACGUAAUUUAUCACCCAAUUUGAUGCAGUUACCAAAAUUAAGAUCAGUGUACCGAAAGUCAUCUUCUGUUUCUGCUUUGGAAAAGGACGAAAAUGAUACGAAUUCUAAAGAGGUGCAAUUUGAUGCAGAAAUUGACCAUGUGCAUGGAAGCUCUGGCAAAUAUCUAAGCCUCUUACAAUCAUCCAACAUAAGAGUCUCUAAGUUAGAAAGUUGUUUGAUGCUUGAAGGAAUGCUUUCGAAAGCGUUUCCAUCUAAAUAUAAAUCUUUCAAUGAAACUAAUGAUCCAAUACUCUCUGGAAUUUCUGAUAUACCACAGUUACCCAGAUGAAGCGUCUGUAGGCUAUUCAAACCGGACAACGGAGGCCAUACCGUCAAACCAUUACAUCCUGCAAAGUAUAAAUAUUCCAAUCGGCUUAAUUGAUUGAAAGAGGAUGGUAAUGUUUUUAUGCCACUUCCUGUUGCGUUAAGUGUCUUCAGAGAUUUUAAAUAUCCAAAGUUAUUUGGAAAUGUGCUGAAUUUCAAACCUCUAACAUCAAUGUGUUCAAGAGAUUGUAACUGGCCAAUGCAGUUUGGAAGAUUUUGAAGCUUUGUACACCAGCUUAACGAUAAUACAACAAGUUGAGAGCAAUGUCCAAUUGAUGAAGGCAAUUGUUUUAUUGCAGUUUUACUUAAAUUUAAAUCCCUUAAAUUGCAAGGAUGCUCUGGACAUUCUUUAAGUUUACUGCAACCAUGAAGAUUGAGAAUCUAAAGAUUUUCUAACUGAAGGAAGCUUGGCAAACUGCUAAUACUUUCACAGUACUCUAAGUGUAGCCGAGCAAGCUUGGCUGAAUAUUUAAGAGAUGAAGGUAUCUCAAUGAAACGUCUACAUCUUGACAAAUAUAAUCCCUCAAGCUUUCGGGCUUGAAAUGAGUCCGAAAUUCUCAAUAAAGACACAGAGGUAUUGAGGUCCAUCAAUUUCAAACUUUUAAAAGGCUGUAAUUCUCAAUAUGAAUGAUUAAAAUUUAAUGUUUAAUUUAGUAUAGCUAAACUUUAAAAAGUGCAGUACCUUACUAUCUCCUUUCCACAGUUGUUUGAGCUGGCUGCUAGGCAAGCGAAGUUCUACAAGAUUAUUUGGGCAAAACUUCGACGGCAAAGAUUCCAAAGGGUAAAAAAGCCAAGACAAAUAUCUUAGCUGUUCCCGAAGAAAGUUAAGGCCAUCAGGCAAAAUCCAUUUGGAAUCAGUGAUUCUGAGGAAUCUAAGAUUAGGUAUCUUCAUGAAACUUUUGGAACUUAUUUCAAUAGAUCCAGCAGUCAAAAAAGGAGGCGAAAUGCAAUCAAUCUUAUCAAUUUCCUGGUAAAACGAACGACAAAUUAAAAAUGAAUAUAUAUAUAUAUAUAUAUAUAUAAAGGUAUGAGUAUAAAAUAUUUAAAAAGAAAAGCUAUUGGAAUCAUCAUUAAUUACGUUGAGUGGUAAGUUCAAAAGUAGCAAAUUUUGCUCCUUACUGUAUUUGUUUUGAAUACAUGAGAAAUGUCCUUAGGAUUCCACAACCCACUACGUCCUCCAGGCUGUUUGCAUUCCUCAUUCACAAUCUCCUUUCCCAUUUGUUGUAGUAAGUUAUGCAUUUCUACUUUACGAUCAUAUUUUCGAAUGGCGAUGAGAGAUUUAUCAAUGAGACUCCUUAUUCCACAUCUUACAAAGAAACCAAAACUUUCUAUUAUUUUUUCAAGCUCAUUUUAAUGUGUAUCUCCUUUUCCAAAGAAACAUGCGAUAUCCAGAAAUAUGCUCUGCUCAUUCCUAUCUAACCCAUCAUAACCUAGUUUUAGAACAUCUUGAAUUCUCUUGUUCGGGAUGCUUUUCAAUUUUAGCAACUGGCUCUCCCAGUACUCUUUCUCCUUGCCAUAAAGGCUAGAGCCUAAAACUUUUAGUGCUAAUGGAUUGCCUUGAGCAUAACGUAUCACCUCCUUGGAUAGCAAAACAUAUCCUUCUUUCGGUUCAUCUUGAUGGAAAGCAUGCAAGCUAAAGAGUUGAAGAGCUUCCUUAUAAAUUAAUCCCUUAACCUGAUAAAUAUGUUCUUCACGACAAACAUUUUUAAGCACUUGUCUAUCUGUACUAGUUAUAAUGAUUCUACUUCCCUUACGGUACAAACUACUGUUUCCAGCUAAAAGAUCUAAAUCGUUUGAAUCAUCAAUGUCAUCAAAAACAAUAAGAACUUUCUUUUUUUGCAGUCUUCUCAUAAUCCAAUCAUCUAAUACUAAAAGUGGUAAGCCUAUUUUGAAAUAUUCGUCUCCCAAUAGUGAACGAAUGAUUUUAUCCCGUAAAACAAUUGCUGUUUCCUUCCUUAUUUGUUCCUUGACAUUUGAAACAAAGCAGUGGGCAUCAAAUUUAGCCUUGAUUUGGGAAAACACUAUACCGGCAAGAGUUGUCUUUCCAAUACCAGCCAUUCCCGAAAUUCCUAUUGUCCAAUUUCUGUCAUUUACAUCAAUAUCCAAUAACGAUAUUACUCCCUCGACACGUGAAUGAAUUCCAACUAACUUGUCAUGGUAACUAGCAUUUGAUGGCAUAUGACUUAACAUCUCUGAAACACGAUUGACGAUUCUUUGAACUAGCAUUUGGUCAUUUCUGAUCACAUAUGAAAAAUAAAAAGUAAGCCAAAACUUAUAUAUUCUAGAAUAGAAUAAAUUAAGUGUUUGGAAGAACUGGGUGGGUAAAACCCAUGAUUGAAGGAAUAGAAGAAAAUGAAACAGAAUUUUAACAAGAAAAUAAAAAUAAGUGAGAGUUCAAAGGAGUAGAUAUCGUGACUAGAAGCCAUCUAUCGUGUGCGCAAGAUUGAUCUAUUAUUGAUGAAUAGAAAAUAAAAAGACAUGGAAAAGUAAAUAAGGGAAAAUGAUAACUUUACUUGAUCUCAUUCGAAACAAAAGCACUUAAGUCGUUGCUGAUUGUCUUCAGAGCAUGGCAGCAUCCACCCAGGUUAUGUGAGCUAUCGCUGUGAUCUUUUAAAAGCCUAGCAAGUGCCCUUGCGAAAGGGCCUCUCAGCUCUUGAACAUCAGUUGGAUCUACACGGUAAAAAACUGGNNNNNNNNNNNNNNNNNNNNNNNNNNNNNNNNNNNNNNNNNNNNNNNNNNNNNNNNNNNNNNNNNNNNNNNNNNNNNNNNNNNCAUAGUUUUUGGAGAAUAUGACAAUUGAAAUACAUGAUUCUUGAAUUGUUUGCUUGAGGGCUGGUGUUAUUUCAGUUCCUUUUUGAAGGUUUUCAUCCUUGAAGGUAUCGAUUCCUUUUUCCUUCAAAGAUUCAAAGAGAAAGGAGAGAAAACCGUCGCGGAUGUCUUUGCCUCUGAAAUUAAUAAAAACUUCAUAGUUAUUUAGCUCGGAAUGGGUUUGCUGGGAAGAGGUUGAGGAAGGUGAAGAAGCAGCAUUGGUAUUAAUGAUAAAAGAAGGGGUUCGCUGGGAAGAGGUUGAAGCAGAAGAAGAGAAAGAAGAACCCAUAAUGGAGAAUUCCAAUGAUACAAGAAGCCGCAGAAGGCGAGUUUUAUAAAAUGUAGAAGAGUAUAUAUAUAUAUAUAUAUAUAUAUAUAUAUAGCUUAACCAUAGAGAUUUGAGAAACACACUCACACAGACAUCAGCUUUAGGAAAGUGAGUGAGUGGAAGUAGGAAAGAGAGAAAAGUGAGGCGAUGGAGAGUCAAGCAAAAAAGAGAGUCAACUGAAUCCAAUUGCUGAUAAGUAUAAAAAUCAUAGUAUAAGUACUGAGGAAAAUUCACCUCACAAUCAUAAUCUAAUAAUUUUUUUUAAAUCAUAAUUAGAUAAUUAUGUAACUCUUUGUUAUAAUUUGAAAUUUUCAAAAAAUAUUUCAAACAUAAAAAAAUACUAUAUUAUUAAUUAAUCUAUUUAAUUGCUCAAAAAUCAAAGAAUCCAUAGUUAAUGUUAUUAAUGUUUAAAUAAUCAAAAUGAAAUCACUGUCCCUUAUCUACGUUAAAAAUAAUAUAUUUGCCUUAAAUUAUAUAUAUAUAUAUAUAUAUAUAUAUAUAUAUAUUAUACAUCAUAAUAUAUAAAAAUAAUUAUACCAUUAAUAGUCAUUUUAUAUUUUAACAGCAACUUAACAUUUUACCAAAUACGAAUAGUAAUCAGCUAAUCGCUAUUAAUCAUGAGUUACUAACUACCAGCAACCCCUAUCAAUUAGCAGCUGGUAUGAACCGCUACACUAAAGGGCUUUAAUAAAUCAACAUUCUCAAAUCUCCAUCUCAUCUUAAAGCUCCAUCUUCUUCUUCUCAACUCUCCCAAUCUCCUCUUUUAUUAUAUUGCCAUAAUUUGAAAAUUUUGAUAAAUAUUUCAAGCAUCAAAAAUAUUAUAUUAUUAAUUUAUUUAUUUAGUUGCUAAAAAUUAAAGAAUCCACCCUUAAUGUUUAGAUAAUCAAAAUAUAAUCAUUGUCCAUUAUCCACAUUAAAACUGUCAUUUGAAAUUAUAUAUUGUAUAAUAGGUAACUUAUUAUAUAAAUUUACUUUAAAUUAAUAAUUAAUAUGUAUACUUCUCAGUCCCAUAAUUUUAAUGGGCAAAAAAAAUAAAAAAGGAAUUCUAUCCCUCUUGUUUAUUGGAUUUAUUUCCUUGAUUAAUGCAAUAAUAUUAUCUUUCAAAAAAAAAAAUUUUAAUAGGCAAAAAAGAAAAUUAUUGGGAAUAUUUGGUAUUUAUACAUGGAAAGAGGGAGGAAAGCUGAAGAUACAAUGAUAAUAUUGGUGAAAUCAAAGGGUUUGAUGAUUUUGAGGUGGUUCUUUGAUUUGUUCAUGGCUAGGAGCCAAAUUUCUAUAGUCGGUUGCUUUUACUAAUAAAUUGAAUAGGCCUAAACAUCCAGUAUGAGCUGGAAAAUCAAAUUAGCAGGGUUAUUUUGAUGCGCAGACUAUAAAUAAUAUUCUCAUAAUUGCUUUUGUUACAAAUUAAAUUUAGAGAGAAAGAAAAUAAUUUUUUCUAUCAAAUAAAACUAAUAGAGUUAUAAUAAAGUCAUAUUUGAUAAAAAUUAAUUGAAUAAUGUAGUUACAUUAGCAAAAAAAAAAUUAAAAUAUUGAUUUCAAUUCACUAAAAUUUAUUUCAUCAAAAUUAAAUAUUCUUAUAAUACCUCAUCCAAUUUGAACAUGUGAGAAUUUUAAAGAGCAAAAAAAAAAAAAUAACUAACUAUAUAAGUUGAAUUACAAUAAUUUACUCACAAUAAUUAAUUGUGCUAUUUAAUAUUUUAGUUCAUUACUUGAGAAUCAAAAAGAGCUUAUAAUUUUACUUUUCAUUUUUAAUUAAAAAUACAUAAGCAAAUUAUUUAUUUCAUUUUUUUUUCAUAAACAUUGUCUCCAUUGACAAGACUGAUGUGAGAGUCAUCAUCACAUACAGGAUCGGCAUGAGAGUCCUCACCAGAAAAUUGAUUUCGUUUAUAUUCUUCUAAUAUUUCAUUUAUAUUUUUAUCGUCUUCUUCUCUAUUGGUAUUGGUUGCGAUUCUACGAUUUUUUUUCUUAUUGAAAAUCUAUAACUGCCAUGAAUGUUGUUUAUACUCUAAAAAAAGACAGGACUCUCGAUUCUGCUUAAAUUAAUAUUGAUACAGUAAAUAUACAUCGUUUUUACUUGAUUUGAUCAAAUGUGUUAAUUGAUGUAAAUAUAUAUAUCAAUCUGUUAUUGUAUGGAGCAAAAUUUGCAUCAUAUGAAACUAAAUAGUCGGGCAUGGCCAUUUUAAAUGAUAGUUUUAAUGUGGAUAAUGGAUAGUAAUUAUAUUUUGAUUAUCUAAACAUUAACGGUGAAUUCUUUAAUUUUUGAGCAAAACAGAUUAAUUAAUAAUAUAAUAUUUUUGAUGCUUGAAAUGUUUCUUGAAAUUUUCAAAUUAUGACCAAGAGUUACAUAAUUAUCUAAUUGUGAUUUAAAAAAAUUAUUAAAUUAUAAUUGUCAGGUCAAUUUUCCUCGGUAUUUUGACUUGAUCAGCAAUGAACUGUACUUAAUACAAAUCAAUGGUUUAGCUUUAUAUAUACUCUUCUGCUUUUUAUAAAACUCGCCUUCUACGGCUUCUUGUAUCAUUUGAAUUCUCCGUUAUGGGUUCUUCUUUCUCUUCUUGUGCUUCAACCUCUUCCCAGAUUGCCAAAUAACUUAGGAGAUUUAAAAUCUCUUGGGGAACUCAUUGCAACAAAAAGUGGCAUACAAACAUUACCAUCUUCAUUGUCUGGUUUGAAUCUGAUGCAGGAACUUAUUCUAGUUGCUUGUGCUAUAUCAGAAAUUCCAGAGAGCACUGGAUCAUUAGUUUCAUUAAAAGAGUUAUAUCUGGAUGGAAACGGUUUCGAAAGCAUUCCUGCAAACAUCAAACAACUUUCUAACUUCGUUAUCCUUAGCUUGAAUGAUUGUAUGAGGCUUAGACAUUUGCCAGAGAUUCCAAUCUUAUUUUCGUUUUCUGCAUCAAAUUGCACCUCUUUAGAAUUCGUAUCGUGUCCAUUCUUUUCCCAUGAAGAUGAAGAUGGAUUUCUGUUUGUAUGUCUUAACUUUAUUAAUUGCAUCAAAUUGGGCGAAAAUGUAGGUAUUAAAAUUAUAGAAACCGUAUUGUCACCACAUUCAAACAUAGAGGUAUGGUUCCUUUCUCUAAUGUUCCACUCUAUUUUGAAACAGCUUUGAGAGUCCUAACUUAAGUGUUAAUUUGACUGUAUUUUUCCCAAUUUUAUUUUCAUGGGACAGGUGUUCGGAAUAUGUAUCCCUGGGAUGGAAGUACCGCAAAGUAUGAGAUAUCAGACAAGUGGAUCUCAUCUUUCAUUCGAGCUGGAGAGGGAUGAUGAUAUUUUGGGUUUCUGCUUUUGCGCUGUUAUUGAUCCCCAACUUCUUCAUUCUCAUGAUCAAGGUUCCAUUAAAUGUUUUGCUGAAUUCAAAGAUAAAUCUGGAAAGAUCCAUGGCUUUUAUUUUUUCAGGUAUGCUGUUGAUGCCUAAGUUAGAUUCAAAACAUGUGCUCCUUUGGUACAAAUCUUUCGACUGAGAAGAGCAUUUCACUCGGGCCUCAUUCCACUUUGCUAUUAGUAAGAGUUAUGAACCUAGUUAUAAUAGGGAACCGAUGAUUAAGUGUAGUGUUCAUCCUGUUUCUCGGGAACAAUAUAGGAAACCAAAACAAGAAAUGAUUCAAACCAACAAGGAUUGUAAUGGAGAGCCCCAGACAAGGAAACGGUCGGCGAAUGCUGAAUUUUGGGAUAAGAAAUCAAGACCAAGACUUUGAUUAAAGGAAUUUCUAGUUUCGUGUGUUUCUCUUUGGGAUUUUGAUUAACUAAACUUCAGUUUUUAAUUCAAAUCUUUGGUUUCUAAGUUUCGGCAGUUAUGGGUUAGCGCUGUAUCUUUAGGGCUUGUUGCAGUUGGUGGAAGAUCUUUAAUCAUGUUUGUAGUUAUCCUAAAUGCUUGUAAAUUUUAAUUAUUUGCUGUCAUCCUAAUGUCUUUAAUUAUUUGCUAGUUUGGAAUUUAGGAGGGAAGUAUGUAAUAAUGUACAUGAUUCAAUAACCUAGAUUUUUAAAAGAUGUUUGCUUCAUUUCAAUUGAUCUUUAAAACAAAUUUUGUAAAUUGGUUCAAUUUUAUCAGCAACUCACGUAAAUAUUUGGGUCUACAAGAUUAUCAAAAUCUAAGAAAAAAUCAUCACGCUCUACACAUGCCCGUCCAUCUUCAUCUUCAUCUUCCAGGAAAAGGAAUGGACAUGAUACAAACUGUAAAGAGAUGCAAUUUGAUGCAGAAAAUGUUCUUGAGAAUGGAAGUUGCCAAAUUUCUUAGCCUCUUACAAUCAUUCAACUUAGAAAGUAGUUUGAUGCUUGCAGGUAUACUUUUAAAAUCGUUUUCAUCUAAAUAUAACUCUUCCAAUGAAAUUAAUGACCCAAUGCUCUCUGGAAUUUCUGAUAUACCUCACUUAUUCAGAUAAAAUUUCCUUAGGCAAUUCAAAGCAGACAAAGGAGGCAAUGUCAUCAAACCCUUACAGACCCUCGCAACAUAAGAAUUCCAAUUUGCUCAAUUGAUUGAUAGAUGAUGGUAAUAUUUUCAUGCCCCUUGCUUUUGCUUCACGCUCCAUCCGCAAUUUUAAAUCUCCACAAUUAUCUGGCAGUCCGUUGAAUUUCAGACAAUUUGUAACAUCAAUUCCUUCAAGAGAUUUAACUGACAAACACUUUGCGGGGUGGAACUAGACUUCAAGUGUUGGGAUUAAGGAUCAAUAUAAAUAUUUGUGUGUGUUGCUGAUAUAAUUGAACCAAUUUACAAAAUUUGUUUUAAAGAUCAAUUGAAAUGAAGCAAACAUCUUUUAAAGAUCAAUCUAUACUUCCCACCAAAACUCCAAACUAGCAAAUAAUUACAAGCAUUUAGGAUAACUGCAAACAUGAUUAAAGGUCUUCCACCAACUGCAACAAGCCCUUGAGAUACAAUGCCAAUGUACAACUGCAGAAACUUAGAAAUAGAUUAGCUAUUAUGAGUGCUAAUAGCCAAGUAACAGCCAAUAAUAAGCUGAUUCUCUCCACUACUGUGAUGCUGUGAAUUGAAAACUGAAGUCAACCAAAAUCCCAUAAUUCAGAGUUCGCCGCCGGUAUGUAUCCUUAUUUGGUUCUCCCUGAUGCCAUCCUUCUUGGUUUUAAUCAUUCCUUAUUCGGCUUUCCUAUUUUCUUCCCGAUAUAUAGGAUGAAUGCCACAAUUGAUCACCUUCGCACUGUCUUCACCUUUUCCGGAAAAAUUUAGAGAGAAGUGAUCAACAUGGAAUGAGACUCGAGUGAAAUUCCGUUCAUGAUCAAAAGAUGUAUACCUAAGGAACACAUGUUUUGAAUCUAACUUAGGAAGCCAAAAAUAUCGAAGAUAAAAGUUACAGCUAUAUUUAUACAUCUUUCCAGAUUUAUCUUGGAAGUUCACAUAACCCGUAAUGCCAUAUUCAUCCAAAUCAAAAUCUUGGAAAUCAAUAACAACGGAAAAAUAAAAACCCAACACACGAUCAGGUCUUUCCAACUGAACUGAAAGAUGAGACCCACUUGUUCGAUAUUUCAUAAUUUGCGGCACUUUCCCCCCAGGGAUACAUAAUUGACACUGUUGCUCCAUGAAAAUAUAUUUUGUUAAAGAAUAUCAUAAUUAAAUAACGAUAGAGCUGAAUUUAAAUAGCUGAUGAAUGAGUAAAUGGAUAAUUUAAACACAAAUUUUAAAAAACGCCUAUAAUAACUAUUGAAAUCUUUCGUGAUAUAUAGUUCAAUUUUAUUAUGUUUAUCUCUCUUCCCUUAUCAAAGCAUAAAUUAAUUAUGAAAUUCACAAGUUAGGAAAAUAUUCCAUUGAUGUUUAUCAUCGAAAAUCUUAAUUAACAAUUUUUUUUUAAUAAGGACUUCUUUAUUAAUUUAAUAUUAGAGAAAGGGAACAUACGUGCUGGUCUGGGUGUGCUGAGAACGGGGCUUCCAAAAUCUGAAGACGUAAUUUAUCACCCAAUUUGAUGCAGUUACCAAAAUUAAGAUCAGUGUACCUGGAAGAGGACGAAAAUGAUACAAAUUCUAAAGAGGAGCAAUUUGAUGCAGAAAAUAACCUUGUGCCUGGAAGCGCUGGCAAAUAUCUAAGCCUCUGACAAGCAUCCAACACAAGAGUCUCCAAGUAAGAAAGUUGUUUGAUGCUUGCAGUAAUGCUUUUGAAAUCGUUUCCAUAUAAAUAUAACUUUUUCAAUGAAACUAAUGAUCCAAUACUCUCUGGAAUUUCUGAUAUACCAGAGUCACGCAGAUGAAGCAUCUGUAGGCUAUUCAAACCGGACAACGAAGGCCAUACCGUCAAACCUUUACAGCCCAUAAAAUUCAAACGUUCCAAUUGGCUCAAUUGAUUGAAAGAGGAUGGUAAUGUUCUUUCACUUCCUGUUGCUUUAAGUGCCUUCAGAGAUUUUAAAUAUCUGAAGUUAUUUGGCAAUGUGCUGAAUUUCAAAUAUCUAAGAUCAAUGCAUUCAAGAGAUUGUAACUGGCCAAUGGAGUUUGGAAGAUUUUCAAGCUCUGUACACCCACUUAACGAUAAUGCAACACGUUGAGAGCAAUGUCCAAUUGAUGAAGGCAAUUGUUUUAUUGCAGUUCUACUUAAAUUUAAAUCCCUUAAAUUGCAAGGAAUUUCUGGACAUUCUUCAAGUUUACUGCAGCCUUGAACAUUAAGAAUCUCAAGAUUUUCUAACUGAAGGAAGCUUGGCAAAUUGCGAAUACUUUUACAGUUAUCUAACUGUAGCUGAGCAAGCUUUGGGGCUUGAAAUGAGUCCGAAAUUCUCAAUAAAGACGGAGAGCUGCGGAGGUCCAUAACUUUCAAACUUUUAAAAGGCUGUAAUAAAAAGAGCAAGAAUAUGAAUGAUUAAAAUUUAAUGUUUAAUUUAUAUUUGUUAUGGAAAAGAAAUAAUAAUUUUCACUCUCAUAAAAUCAAUUUUAUAAAAUUUAACUCAAUUAAAUCCCAUCUUAUUAUGUUAUACUUGAAGUUCAUUUACACCAAAUAGAAAAGUAUUAAACUUUAGGAAGUAUAGCAAAACUUUAAAAAUGCAGUACCUUACUAUCUCCUUUCCACAGUUGUUUGAGCUGGCUGCAAGGCAAGCGAAGUUCUACAAGAUUAUUUGGGCAAAACUUCGACGGCAAAGAUUUCAAAGGGUAAAAAAGCCAAGAUAAAUAUCUUAGCUGUUCCGGAAGAAAAUCAAGGCCAUCAGGCAAAAUCCAAUUGGAAUCGGUGAUUCUGAGGAAUCUAAGAUUAGGCAUCUUCAUGAAACUUUUGGAACGUAUCUCAAUAGCUUCAGCAUUCGACGAAGAAGGCGAAAUGCACUCAAUCUUAUCAGUUCCCUGAUAAACGAACAACAAAUGGAAAAUCAAUAUAUAUAUAUAUAUAUAUAUAUAUAUAUAAAGGUAUGAGUAUAAAAUAUUUAAAAAGAAAAGCAAUUGGAACCAUCUCUAAUUAUGUUCAGUGGUAAUUUCAAAAGUGGCAAAUUUUGCUCCUUACUGUAUUUGUUUUGAAUACAUGAGAAAUGUCCUCAGGAUUCCACAACCUACUACGUCCUCCANNNNNNNNNNNNNNNNNNNNNNNNNNNNNNNNNNNNNNNNNNNNNNNNNNNNNNNNNNNNNNNNNNNNNNNNNNNNNNNNNNNNNNNNNNNNNNNNNNNNNNNNNNNNNNNNNNNNNNNNNNNNNNNNNNNNNNNNNNNNNNNNNNNNNNNNNNNNNNNNNNNNNNNNNNNNNNNNNNNNNNNNNNNNNNNNNNNNNNNNNNNNNNNNNNNNNNNNNNNNNNNNNNNNNNNNNNNNNNNNNNNNNNNNNNNNNNNNNNNNNNNNNNNNNNNNNNNNNNNNNNNNNNNNNNNNNNNNNNNNNNNNNNNNNNNNNNNNNNNNNNNNNNNNNNNNNNNNNNNNNNNNNNNNNNNNNNNNNNNNNNNNNNNNNNNNNNNNNNNNNNNNNNNNNNNNNNNNNNNNNNNNNNNNNNNNNNNNNNGAGCUUCCUCAUCAAUUAAUCCCUUAACGUGAUAAAUAUGUUCUUCAUGGCAAACAUUUCGAAGUACUUGUCUAUCUGUACUAGUUAUAAUGAUUCUACUUCCCUUACGGUACAAACUACUGUUUCCAAGUAAAAGAUCUAAAUCGUUUGAAUCAUCAACGUCAUCAAAAACAAUAAGAACUUUCUUUUUUUGCAGUCUUCUCAUAAUCCAANNNNNNNNNNNNNNNNNNNNNNNNNNNNNNNNNNNNNNNNNNNNNNNNNNNNNNNNNNNNNNNNNNNNNNNNNNNNNNNNNNNNNNNNNNNNNNNNNNNNNNNNNNNNNNNNNNNNNNNNNNNNNNNNNNNNNNNNNNNNNNNNNNNNNNNNNNNNNNNNNNNNNNGCAAGAGUUGUCUUUCCAAUACCAGCCAUUCCCCAAAUUCCUAUUAUCCAAUUUCUGUCAUUUACAUCAAUAUCCAAUAACGAUAUUACUUGCUCGACACGCGAAUCAAUUCCAACUAACUUGUCAUGGUAACUAGCAUUUGAUGGCAUAUGACUUAAUAUCUCCGAAACACGAUUGACG
rnacentral:lncRNA from 1 species